AUGCCACUCUUUUUUUAUGUAUAUUUCCUGUUCUUCUCUUUAAACUGUCCGACAGAUAAGAUAACGCCAGCAACACUUUGUUAUAAGAGAUUGACACAUGCAAUACUUUUCUUUAAUGAUGUCAUCUCAGGCGUAUGUCAGUGGUCUGACUUCCAGGAUUUGGGUGUCAUACAUGUGCUAUCAACUAAACUCUUGGAUUGCAGCAAACAAAGCUUCUCCUUUACAGUAAGCUGUGAUACAGACUGCAGGUGCAGAGACAGAUGCUCUUGACCAGGAGAUGGCUGAGAUAUAAAAUAGUUGGCUGAAUAGAUAAGAUAUGUGAAGGUUUUUUUUGUUGUUUUUUUUGUUUUUGUUCUUUUUACACUACACAUGCAAUAUUUAACUGUGUAGACUGCAAUAUAAUUUAUAUAUAUAUAUCUAUAGUAGAUGUCAUGAUUAUUAUACAUUAUUGUUCAGUUUCAGAUGUUUUACAUGUUUUUGAAAGUUGUUCACCAAGGCUGCAUUUGUUUAAGCAAAAAUACAGUAAAACAUUAAUAUUGUAUAGACAUUUAAAAUAACUUUUUAUAUUUGAAUAUAUUUAAAAUGUAAUUUAUUUCUGUGGUGUAUAGCUAAAUUUUCAGCAGCCAUUACUCCGGUCUUCAGUGUCAUAAUGAAAUGAUUAUUAUUAUUAUCAGUAUUAAUAACAUAAUUUUUAACUGUAGUGUACCAUAUCAUAUUUUUGUUUAUUUCUGUUUAAUUCAGUAAUUUUUUUACAGUUAUAAACAAAAAGUAUUUCUAAAAGAAGCCAGUGCGUUCUAUAAUUUGAGUGACAGACAUUCUAUAAUCCAUGUGCUUUGGCUCUACUCCACAUUUUUUCCAUUUCUCAUUUGCUCCACUUGCAUAAACUAGCUUUCCGAUUGAAAAACAAAACAAAACAAAACAACAACAACAAAAAGCCUGAAUUUGCUUGACACAUACUCUCUCUCUUUGAAAUAUCAAAAAAAGUGAAAUUAAAAUGUUACCUGGAAUCUUAUCCACCAUGGAUUAGAUAGAUCAUACAUGCCUUUUUCAGAUAUUUAAUAAUAUUUUCCAGUUGAAUGACUGCAAAGUACUCCGUGUUUUCAGAGAUGAAUACAUUCAUGUGUUUGAUUUCUUUAUUUUUUUAUUGAGCCCUUCUGGGAAGUUUACAGGCAUGUGAUGUGUACACAGAGCCCAGAUAAAGGCUGGUGUCAAUGAGAGUGUUUGUCUAGAGUGUAUUUGCCAACUGUCAGAGAUAAGCAAAGCCUCUUUAUGAGAGCAGAAGACUGACAGCUCUAAAUGGACAUUCCCCCGGCCGUUCCCUGACACUUACUGUCAUUUGUGUCAAUAUGGAAUGAACUAAAAGAAUAUUAAUGGUAUGUUCUGUUCCUUUUUCAUCUCAUAAAUCUCUCUCUGAGACUGUCUGUCACUGUUUGCGCACAGAGAGGGUUUGGAUCUCUUAUGAGUUGUUUAUUUUUACAUGUUAAUGUUUACAUGUAUAUAUAUAUUUUUUUUAAAUAAAGUGAUAUGACAGCUAGAUGCCCCUUUUGACAAAAACAGUACACUUUGGUGUCACUGUCCCUUUUUUGACACAUAACAUGUUUUUUUCCCCACAGUUUUGUUAUGGGGAAAAAAAGCUCUGUAAUGUCUGAUAAAUUAUUAAAAUAAUUUUUUACUUGCCAUAACUAGUUUUAAACAUCAAAUACCUGUGCUUUUUACUUAAAAUGCCC
ensembl:lncRNA